GGGAGGGAAUUGAUCUUUGCUUGGACUUAAAGAUGGAGCCGAAGGAGCCGGAGGGAAUUUGGGUCUGUGUGUCUGGCUCAGACCCUAGGCGCUGAGGGGGGCCGCUGGGCACCAAGCCCGAGGUCUUUUUUCCCCGGCGCCCUUCGUCCCGCGACCUGGCAGGAAUCCGUGGGCUGAAGAGCGCCCGGGCUGAGCCACCUGCCCCAGGCCGGGCUGCAGAGAAAGUCUUCGAGCUGGGGGCCGUCCCGUCCCUGUCUUUAAAAUGAGCGCAAUAAAAGGGGGCAAAUCCUCCAACGCGAACCUGAUCGCAUGUCACAGAAGCAACUUGCCAUGAAAUCCGCUAAUGCGCCGCGACUCGCCUACCAGGCAUGUAGCCACAGCAAAUUAUUGCUCAUUUGAUACCAAGAAUUCUAUUGACCAUCGCUUUCGUUGGAAAGAGAAUUCUAACUACUAGCUGCUCUCUAGUCAGUCAGCUGAGGCUGAGAACACUACACAACUAAAACAAGUAAAUUGAGCCCUCUGCCUCCAGGAAUUGAUGGAGAUGUGUUCAUUACAUUGGGCCACGUGAACAUGCAUAGAAAUCUGCUUUUUGCUCUGCCAGUUGGAAUUGCCCCCACGCAGUCAAAAGGUCGGCCCCUUUGCAAUAGAACUGUCUAAUUGGAGGGCUGGACAUUGGUUUGCCUCUCCGGUAUCCCUUCUGGCAACUCCUUUUCAGCUCUGGCCAGGUUGGGCAAUGAAAUGAUGCAUUAGAAGAUUGCUCCUUGGUUCUUUAGUCAAAGUUACACCAACGUGGACACAGAGAAAUCAUUAAAACUGCCUCUCCUUUAGGAAAAAAAGAAGAAGAAAGAAAGAAAACUCCUAAAAUGUCUAGAUGAGUGAUGUUAUGGUCUAGACAUAAUUUCCUAAAUAAAAUUGCUCCAUUCCCACCCCCUCAAAACUCCACAUCAAUUAUAUAGAGAGACUAAAUUGGCGGGGGACUGGGAAGCUCUGAGAUCUGCGUCUGUUCUCUCUGGUCGACAAGGGGCAUCCAGCCUUAAUUACAGGGGAGACCACUCCAGCGCUCGCUUCAGCCGGUGGUGCAGAGAAGUCCGCGCCUAGAAAAGGCCUGACCUUCUACGAUCCAGGCUGGAGAGGGAGGUUGUCCGGUGAAGAUGCUGGAGAAAGAUCUGGGAGAGUAAAGGAAGAGGCCGGGUUUGUUCCCUGAGAAGCUAGUGGCAGAACCUGUCUUCAGGCUGAAAGAAGCUGGUGCUACCCCACAGCAGGAACCACUCGACGCUUGGACCUUUGGGGUGUCUUCCCCAUCUCCACGGCGGCCUACUCAGACCUUUCUGUAGGGACCAAUGCGUCCUCCAUUCAGGAGUCUGAGAGAAAGGCAACCCGACUCUGGGGCUGCGCUGGCCCGUCCAAGACAGGUACAAAAACAGAAAGAGGAGCAUGUUUGGGGGAAACGCUGUCAAAUUUCUAAGGAACCAAGGAUCCACGUCUGUGUUUCUCCUUAAACCUUCGAUACCAAGAGGAGAACAAGGUAACCUUGAAGAAGCCAUGCCCGUGGAGAUUCCGUGGAAGAGAUGGUUGGGUUUCAUUUCCAUAACUACCUAGAGAUAAGCCUUCUCAGUUGGGUUCCGGAACAAAAAUAAAGACCAAUUACCGAUUUCACAAAUGAAUCCCCCACGUUUGCAGCCCGCAAAAAGCAUCAACUCUCAAUUGAAAGGCGUGCUUAGGGGCUUUAAGGGACCCGGCUUUGUAGUUAUUUUUCUAAUGAUGUUGUUACAUGUGCGUGAAACCCCUGGCACUCUUGCGUGCCACUUUCCAUGACCCUUCGCAGUAGGGGAGCCACUUUGUUCCAGUGUGGGCAGUGAACUAGUAGGAGUGUGUGCUGCACAUGCUGGACGCUCACCUGAGAGUAGUAGACUGAGUAGAUUCUGAAUUGGUUUGAGAAUUAUGGGAAAUGUAAGAUGAAAUACACACUGUGGGGUUUUUGUUUUUGUUUUCUUAAUUUUUCUAUUUUGUUUUAACGAACAUAAAUAACCUCGGGCUCCGGUGUAACCACUCCUCCCAAACGCAGCCUGGAAUGUGCAUAUUACCCACAACACUUGAAGAUUCCAGCCCAGUGGUUUUGGAAACCCCUUUUCUGGAUUCCAGCCUGGACUCUGAUAACCACUCAAUCCUCCAUCCUCCAGGGGAAGAGAACCCACCUGGGCCAAGCCAAGCAGCAGAAGCUACACAAUCAAAAGCACACACAGGGAUCCUGUGGUAGGUAGGAUCUGAGGCUGGAUGCCGAUCUGGAAGGCCAUCUGAGCUAGCCAGAAAGUGUCUGACACUACUGGAAACCAGAAACCAAUAAGACAGCAACACCCUAAAGUCAUUGUGGGGAACAAGACCUGGAACCUUGGUUUGAGUUGAAAAGUUAGGAGCCAGGGACAGAUCACCCAGCAUUUCUUUGGAAUAGGGCAGUACUGAGAACUACCUAGCUACACUGGCAUUGCAGCAGAUUAGAGAUUAGGAAAUUUAUUCUCCUCCUACAUACAGCAAGACACAAAUCCUUCAACCUGGAGCCCACCUCUGUGCAGGGAGCAUCUGGCUCCGCCCCCACCCCCAUUACACUUUCCAACUGCCCUGCCCAACUAGCCUUCUCCAGGUUUUGCCAGGCAAAUGAAGCAAGCAGUACUCGAUAGUAAAUUAUUUUGUUCAGGCUUCUGUCUUUUUAUGAAAAUAAAAGCCAACACUUUGUCAUUUUUAAUCACAUAAGCAGACAAUAAAUCUAAUUUCGAUAUUGAUUUUUUUCCAGAA